CCUCCCCACGAAGGACUAACCUCCCCGUACCCACCUCCACCUUAUCUGCGGCCCCUCCAUCCAAAUACUCUCCCCCUGAAGCCUUUUUACACCCGGCCACCUCUCCCCCUGAUUCCUCUCUGUCUCUCGCACUACAGGGUUGUCGCUGCCAACUCCAAUUGCAGGAAGCUCCGGCGGACUCCCAACCCACUGCUCACCGGCCUGCCCCACUCCGUCUAUGUUCUCCUUCAGUCCUUCGCCCGAGGCCAUCGCUCCCCUACACGCGCGGCACGCAACAACCCUAGCCGCCACACAUCGCCGGCGUGGCUCCGACAGCUCCGGUUUAUCGGCCCACUACCCCUGCAUCACCUCACGCGCGGCAGCCGGCUCGGGCUUAUGUUGAUCGAUGUACAUCACUUAUGCAUUACAAUCAGGAGAAAUCGAUCCAUGCAGAAGAAGCCUUAAGAAUUAUUUAACUCAUUUGUUUAUAGCUUGGCGAGGAUCCUUUCGCAUGUUACAGUAAGGAAAACAUGAAUUUGUAUCUUAUUCUUUUUUCUGGUUGAUGUAAUAUUUGUUUUCCCUGGACAAAAACUUAUGUUAGUUUCAGUUUCUUAUUCAGUUAAAAUUUGCACACUACAAUCUUGAAGUUUAUGCAAGAGCUCAGAUGGAAAUAAUUCUUACACUCAUAUUAUCCAAUAUAAAUUGUCAAAUAAUUGAUAAAGUUUGAAGGUGCGAUACAAGAACAUCAUACCUUGAUAUUCUUGUCAUAUGUAUAUGACUCAUAUUGUUGAAAUCUCACCUCUAAAUCGAGUUUAGUGCUCUUUUUUUGGAAAUACAGGUACUUCUGAAUUCCUGCAAUUUCUGUACUAAUUUUGUAUUUUGUGAGGAGCCACAGAUGUUUACAAAUACUAGAAUGAUGCAUGAUAGGUCGCACACAAACUCUUGACCAGGUGCCUCUCACAUCUUCUCAUGUUUGUACUAUAUUCUUCUUAAACUGUUAACACAAUGAGCAUGUACUUGGUUCAUCCAAGAACACAAUGAGCAUGUACUUGGUUCAUCCAAGAACGUAAACAUUAAAAAUAUUCCUCUUGUGCACUCUCCUUCCCUGACAUACAGGGCACACUACGGUGGUUGGAUGAUACUAACAACCAUAAACAGACAGCUAAGCGAUCAGAUGCGACGACUGUGCGAGUGUGUCAGGUACGUCGAAUUCACUGAUCCGAAACUAUUGGAUCUUACUAGGAUCCCCUCUUCUCUGUAAUACUCAGGGCCUUCUCCUCUACCUAUUCGGCCAACAGUUUCAGCAUCCAGCAACCAUGGUGACAAAGAUGAGCGUACUGGAACUGCUCUAAGUUUCCACGUUCUCGGUAAACAAGUAACUAAGAAAGCCAAUCCUAUUUAUUAAAUGUUGGCAUAUACUAAUACGCUGGCACUACUUAGUCUGCAUGAAUGUUGUGGUCUUCUAAAUUGUUAGAAUAAUUUCAAGUAGUUUAGUAGGAGUCCGUGCUAGUUUAACUAGCCAAGUUUGAGUCUAAUUUGGUUAGAUUGAUUAGUUAGUUUUCCAACAAGUCUGGCUUGCAUGUCAUAAGAAUUUGUGUACUUGGGUGGGUCGUACUAAUCCAUAUAUGGUUCAAUGAGUUUGCAUAGCUAGCUGCCUACAUGUUGUACUACUAUGUCUUGGAGUUAGCAUGCCUUACUAGUGUAGGAAAGGGCGCUGGAGUCUGUGUCGUUUUAGAUGCUAUAAGUAGGAGUAGGUUUAGAUUGUUUCGGCCAUCUAGCAUGUCAUAUCGUGGAACCAGGUCGUGCAAGAGUUUUUCCAUAUAAGAACAAGGUCAUGUAAGAGUUUUGGUAUAAAAUAAGAUAAGAAAGAGUACGCUAAAGGACUUCGUGCACAUGUAUUCAGCUAUUUUGAUGUUCGAUUCUGUGGGCAAAAGCGAACAUACAUUACUAAUGCACAUGCCAAAUUAGCAGGCUACAGAGACUCGAUUGUUCCAAGUCGAUGUUGUUGGCGCUAAAACAUAGAAGACUACUAGUGCCAAGCUGGAUUUACUAGGAGAUAGAUUCCAAUAUUCGAUGGUGCAUGUCUCAGAUGUUGGUUGCAAGGUCAAGAAUAGGGGUGCUACUAGAUAGUUUCACAUUGUGUCUUAGAAUGCCAUUUCCAGUGCCAAUGUUUCAAUCAUUAUGUAUCUGAUAUUUUUGGUGUCAAUGUUAGAUCAUUAUGUUUCAGAAUGGCUGACACGUAGGUUGCAAGGUCAAGAAUGGGAUUACUACUAGUUUCACAUCUUGUAAUCUUUGUAUGGUGUACUUUGUAAUGCAACCAAGUUGAUUUAAUAUAUGAGAAAUUUCUGUUUA